UUGAGCGCUUUAUUCUUUAUGUGGUGAAGGAAUUUGAACCCUUGAUUCAGAAGCCUUACACAAUUGUCUAUCUUCACUCUGCUGCAUCUUUGCAAGUACAACCAGAUCUUGGAUGGAUGCAGCGGUUAGAACAGAUACUUGGUCGUAAACACCAGCGUAAUCUGCAUGCAAUAUAUGUUCUACAUCCCACUUUGGGUCUCAAGGCGGCAAUAUUUGCUUUGUAGCUAUUGGUAGAUGGAGAGGUGUGGCGGAAGGUCGUAUACGUUGGUCGUUUAUUGCAGCUCUUUAGAUAUGUACCACGUGAGCAGUUGACGAUCCCA